rnacentral:rRNA from 1 species
GGUCAAGCUACUAAGGGCAUACGGUGGAUGCCUUGGUGCCGGGAGGCGAUGAAGGACGUGGUAAGCUGCGAUAAGCCUCGGGGAGCCGCUAAACAGGCUUAGAUCCGGGGAUCUCCGAAUGGGAAAACCCAUACCGGGUAAUACCGGUAUAUCCCGUCAUGAAUCCAUAGUGGCGGGAGGCGAACGAGGGGAACUGAAACAUCUCAGUACCUUCAGGAAAAGAAAUCAACAGAGAUUCCCUGAGUAGUGGCGAGCGAAACGGGAGGAGCCUAAAUCCCGCAUAUGCUAAAGCCUGUGAGCGUUGUAUGCGGGAGGUUGCGGGGUCUUAUCGGAAGUCUUCACAGGGACUUCGGGGGGAAUUCAUUUCCAUAGCUGAAUCCACUGGAAAGUGGAGCCAUAGAGGGUGAUAGCCCCGUAAGCGAAAUGGAAAUGAAACCCCUGGAUAAGAUACCCAAGUACCACGAGACACGGGAAAUCUUGUGGGAAUCUGGGAGGACCAUCUUCCAAGGCUAAAUACUACCCGGCAACCGAUAGUGAACCAGUACCGUGAGGGAAAGGUGAAAAGUACCCCAAUGAGGGGAGUGAAAUAGUACCUGAAACCGUAUGCUUACAAGCAGUGGGAGGACGGUGGAUACCGGAAGGGUUCGCCCUUCGGGUAUUCUGUCUGACCGCGUGCCUUUUGCAUAAUGAGCCUGCGAGUUACUCUAUGUGGCGAGGUUAAUUCCUCAAGGGGAAGGAGCCGGAGCGAAAGCGCGUCUUAAAAGGGCGACUUAGUCACAUGGAGUAGACCCGAAACCAGGUGAUCUAUCCAUGGCCAGGGUGAAAUUCGCAUAACAGCGAAUGGAGGCCCGAACCGGUGAAGGUUGAAAACUUCUCGGAUGAGCUGUGGAUCGGAGUGAAAGGCUAAUCAAACCUGGAGAUAGCUGGUUCUCCCCGAAAUAUAUUGAGGUAUAGCCUCAGGACAUUCGUUGACGGAGGUAGAGCACUGGAUGGGCUAGGGGUCCUACCAGAUUACCAAACCCAACCAAACUCCGAAUGCCGUCAUACGUUAUCCUGGGAGUCAGCCCGUGGGAGAUAACUUCCAUGGACGAGAGGGGAACAACCCAGACCGUCAGCUAAGGUCCCUAAGGAUAUGCUAAGUGGGAAAGGAUGUGGAAGCGCUCAGACAGCCAGGAGGUUGGCUUAGAAGCAGCCAUCCUUUAAAGAAAGCGUAAUAGCUCACUGGUCGAGUGAGUCUGCGCCGAAAAUGUAACGGGGCUCAAGCAUAUCACCGAAGCUACGGAUCCCGAUAACCCUCGGGAUGGUAGGGGAGCAUUCCAUGGUAGGGCGAAGGAUGACCGCGAGGACAUCUGGACGAGAUGGAAGAGAUCAUGCAGGCACGAGUAGCGAUAAUGCUGAUGAGAAAUCAGCACGCCGUAAACCUCAGGUUUCCUGAGCAAGGGUAAUCCUCUCAGGGUUAGUCGAUCCCUAAGCCGAGGCUGAGAAGCGUAGGUGAUGGAAAACAGGUUAAUAUUCCUGUACCACCGGAUUGGCGUUUGAGCGAUGGGGGGGUGCAGAAGGGUAGGUCAUCCAGGUGUUGGAUGCCCUGGUUCAAGCCCGUAGGUGGGAAUUCCAGGCAAAUCCGGAGUUCCAAUUGCAAACACCGAGAGGUGACGACCACCCCGAGAUUCGUCGAGGGGGAAGUGACUGAGCCCAUGCUGACAAGAAAAGCCCCUAGCAAGUCAAUCAGGUGAUCGUACCGCAAACCGACUCAGGUAGGUGAGGAGAGCAUCCUAAGGCGCUUGAGAGAACCCUGGUUAAGGAACUCGGCACACUAGCACCGUAACUUCGGAAGAAGGUGUGCCAUGAUCCGUGAGAGGACUUGCUCCUUGAGCGGGUCAUGGUCGCAGUGAAACGGGGGUGGCGACUGUUUACUAAAAACACAGGAGUCUGCGAAGUCGAAAGACGAUGUAUAGGCUCUGACGCCUGCCCGGUGCUGGAAGGUUAAGGGGAUUCGUCAUGUCGUAGCGAUACGGCAGAAGCGUUGAACCGAAGCCCCAGUAAACGGCGGCCGUAACUAUAACGGUCCUAAGGUAGCGAAAUUCCUUGUCGGGUAAGUUCCGACCUGCACGAAUGGCGUAACGACUUCCCCGCUGUCUCAACCAGGGACUCAGCGAAACUGUAUUGGCGGUGCCGAUGCCGUCUACCCGCGGCAAGACGGAAAGACCCCGUGCACCUUUACUACAACUUGGCAAUGAAUUUCGGAAUAGUCUGUGUAGGAUAGGUGGGAGACUGUGAGAUCUCGGCGCCAGUCGGGAUGGAGUCGUCCUUGAAAUACCACCCUGAUUGUUUUGGAAUUCUAACCUGGGCCCGUCAUCCGGGUCGGGGACAUUGCCUGGUGGGUAGUUUGACUGGGGCGGUCGCCUCCUAAAGGGUAACGGAGGCGCGCAAAGGUUCCCUCAGGCUGAUUGGAAACCAGCCGUAGAGUGUAAAGGCAUAAGGGAGCUUGACUGCAAGACCUACAAGUCAAGCAGGGACGAAAGUCGGCCUUAGUGAUCCGGCGGUUCCGCAUGGAAGGGCCGUCGCUCAACGGAUAAAAGGUACGCCGGGGAUAACAGGCUAAUUUCCCCCAAGAGUUCACAUCGACGGGGAAGUUUGGCACCUCGAUGUCGGCUCAUCGCAUCCUGGGGCUGUAGCAGGUCCCAAGGGUUUGGCUGUUCGCCAAUUAAAGCGGUACGCGAGCUGGGUUUAAAACGUCGUGAGACAGUUUGGUCCCUAUCUGCCGUGGGCGUAGGAUACUUGAGGGGAGCUGUCCCUAGUACGAGAGGACCGGGAUGGACGAACCGACGGUGUUCCAGUUGUGACGCCAGUCGCAGCGCUGGGUAGCCGUGUUCGGAAGGGAUAACCGCUGAAAGCAUCUAAGCGGGAAGCCCACCCCAAGAUGAGGUAUCCCUCCUGGUAGCGAUACCAGGAUAAGACCCCUCGGAGACUACGAGGUUGAUAGGUCAGAUGUGUAAGUGCCGUAAGGUACUUAGCAGACUGAUACUAAUCGGUCGAUCGGCUUGACCAU